rnacentral:rRNA from 1 species
UACGUAGGGGGCAAGCGUUGUCCGGAUUUAUUGGGCGUUAAAGAGCGUGUAGGCGGCCAGGUAGGUCUGCUGUGAAAACUCGGAGGCUUAACCUCGAGCUGUCGGCGGAAACCAUCUGGCUAGAGUCCGGAAGAGGAGAAUGGAAUUCCCGGUGGUAGCGGUGAAAUGCGCAGAUAUCGGGGAAGAACACCCGUGGCGAAGGCGGUUCUCUGGGACGGUACUGACGCUGGAGACGCGAAAGCGUGGGGAGCGAACAGG